GAGGUUGCAGUGCACUGAGAUCAUACCACUGCACUCCAGCCUGUGCAACAGAGUGAGACUCUGUCUCAAAAAAAAAAAAAAGAAGGUGGUUUUAUAAUCAGCUAUAAAACUCUAAAAGGUGCUCUUGAAUGCAGGUUUCUGCUAACUUUGGAGAUUGUGACAUUAGAAUAGAGGAAAAACUUUCGGGACUCAUGGAGAGCUGAAAUGUUCAUGAAUAUCAAGCAGAACAGGAAUUAACUGCAUGGACUGAAGUAAUCUUUUUGACUUUUUGCUUAAAACGUUGUUGAUCUUUUGUUUUGUUUUUUCAGAGUCAAGGAAACUUUUCUUUUGAGCUAUUGACAGCUUUUAACAAGUUAUUGUACUCCUAUGAACAAAAUUUGGAGCAUAUUCAUUUCUCUCUACCUGAUUUCUCCAGAAUUUGGCAACUGUUUGACAUGAGGAUUCUCAACCUGCUAAUAAUGAGCUACCUAUCUAGGGUAGCUAUUGGGACCUACCUAUCUAGGAAUAAACCAUCCUAGCCAUGAGAGACCCGAUGAAACCUCAGACCAGAGACUCAUUUUCUUCUAAAAUGCUUUCUCCAAAAGAUUUUUAAAAAGAAAAGGGGGAAAUGUGAAAGGAAACUGUCUUGGGCCCCCCAAAAUCAUGAAGCUAAAGAGAAAAGUCAAGCUGGGAACGGCUUAGGGCAAACCUGUCUCCCGUUCUAUUCAAAGUCACCCCUCUGCUUACUGAGAUAGAUGCAUAUCUAAUUGCCUCCUUUGGAGAGGCUUAUCAGAAACUCAAAAGAAUGCAACCAUUUGUCUCUCACCCACCUGUGACCUGGAAGCCCCCUCCCUGCUUGAGUUGUCCCACCUUACCAGACUGAACCAAUGUUCGUCUUACAUAUGUUGAUUGAUGUCUCAUGUCUCCCUCAAACGUGUAAAACCAAACUAUGCUCUGACCACCUCGGCACAUGUCACCAGGACCUUCUGAGGCUGUGUCAUGGACGCGAGUCCUCAAACUUCGCAAAAUAAACUCUCUAAAUGAACUGAGACCUGUCUGAGAUAUUCGGGGUUCACAGUUUGCUGUCUCUCUUCACUAGGAGAGUUGUUCCGUGAAGGCCGGGAUCUCUUUUACUGAGUGAUGUAUUCCAAGUGCCUGGAGCAAUGUCUGGCAUGUAGAAGGAAUUCCGUACGUGCAUUAAAUUAAUGAACUAGCCUCC
rnacentral:lncRNA from 1 species